AAUGUAAAUGUGUGUUUUUCCGGCG
rnacentral:piRNA from 1 species